rnacentral:rRNA from 1 species
CAGCAGCCGCGGUAACACGGAGGGCGCGAGCGUUACCCGGAUUUACUGGGCGUAAAGGGCGUGUAGGCGGCCUGGGGCGUCCCAUGUGAAAGGCCACGGCUCAACCGUGGAGGAGCGUGGGAUACGCUCAGGCUAGAGGGUGGGAGAGGGUGGUGGAAUCCCCGGAGUAGCGGUGAAAUGCGCAGAUACCGGGAGGAACGCCGAUGGCGAAGGCAGCCACCUGGUCCACUUCUGACGCUGAGGCGCGAAAGCGUGGAGAGCAAACCGGAUUAGAUACCCCCGUAGUCCCUGUCUCUUAUAA